rnacentral:rRNA from 1 species
GAUGAACGCUGGCGGCGUGCCUAAUACAUGCAAGUCGAGCGAACAGACGAGGAGCUUGCUUCUCUGACGUUAGCGGCGGACGGGUGAGUAACACGUGGAUAACCUACCUAUAAGACUGGGAUAACUUCGGGAAACCGGAGCUAAUACCGGAUAAUAUAUUGAACCGCAUGGUUCAAUAGUGAAAGACGGUUUUGCUGUCACUUAUAGAUGGAUCCGCGCCGCAUUAGCUAGUUGGUAAGGUAAAGGCUUACCAAGGCGACGAUGCGUAGCCGACCUGAGAGGGUGAUCGGCCACACUGGAACUGAGACACGGUCCAGACUCCUACGGGAGGCAGCAGUAGGGAAUCUUCCGCAAUGGGCGAAAGCCUGACGGAGCAACGCCGCGUGAGUGAUGAAGGUCUUCGGAUCGUAAAACUCUGUUAUUAGGGAAGAACAAAUGUGUAAGUAACUAUGCACGUCUUGACGGUACCUAAUCAGAAAGCCACGGCUAACUACGUG